CGAACCUGCCUCAUACAGAGGGAUAAUCAUGUGAAAACGUGACUAAUACCGCAUGUCAUUACUGGAGGGCAUCCUCCGGUAAGAAAAGGAGCAAUCCGGUAUGAGAUGGGCCCGCAUCUGAUUAGCUAGUUGGUGAGAUAACAGCCCACCAAGGCGACGAUCAGUAGCCGACCUGAGAGGGUGAUCGGCCACAUUGGGACUGAGACACGGCCCAA
rnacentral:rRNA from 1 species